AUUUGCAAGGUGCUGCAUGGUCAUGUGCCGUGAGGUGUCAGGUUAAGUCCUAUAACGAGCGCAACCCCUACCGUUAGUCGCCAGCAUGUCAUGCUAACGGGUCUGCCGGUGCAAGCCGUGAGGAAGGUGGGGAUGACGUCAAAUCAUCACGGCCCUUACGUCCUGGGCCACACACGUGCUACAAUGGCAGGUACAGAGAGCAGCCACGUUGCAAGGCGGAGCGAAUGUCACAGUUCGGAUCGGGGUUUGCAACUCGACCCCGUGAAGCUGGAAUCGCUAGUAAUCGGAUAUCAGCCAUGAUCCGGUGAAUACGUUCCCGGGCCUUGUACACACCGCCCGUCAAGCCAUGGAAGCCGGGAGUGCCUGAAGUCCGUCACCGGAAGGAGCGG
rnacentral:rRNA from 1 species